UACGUAGGGGGCGAGCGUUGUCCGGAAUUACUGGGCGUAAAGGGUGCGCAGGCGGUUAAUUAAGUCUUAUGUGAAAUACCCGGGCUUAACCUGGGGGUUGCAUGGGAAACUGGAUAACUUGAGUGCAGGAGAGGCAAGUGGAAUUCCUAGUGUAGCGGUGAAAUGCGUAGAUAUUAGGAGGAACACCAGUGGCGAAGGCGACUUGCUGGACUGCAACUGACGCUGAGGCACGAAAGCGUGGGUAGCAAACAGGAUUAGAUACCCUGGUAGUCCACGCUGUAAACGAUGGAUACUAGGUGUAGGGGAGUCAAAUCCUCUGUGCCGGAGCAAACGCAAUAAGUAUCCCGCCUGGGGAGUACGGCCGCAAGGUUGAA
rnacentral:rRNA from 1 species